GACGAACGCUGGCGGCGUGCUUAACACAUGCAAGUCGAACGGAAAGGCCCUGCUUUUGUGGGGUGCUCGAGUGGCGAACGGGUGAGUAACACGUGAGUAACCUGCCCUUGACUUUGGGAUAACUUCAGGAAACUGGGGCUAAUACCGGAUAGGAGCUCCUGCUGCAUGGUGGGGGUUGGAAAGUUUCGGCGGUUGGGGAUGGACUCGCGGCUUAUCAGCUUGUUGGUGGGGUAGUGGCUUACCAAGGCUUUAACGGGUAGCCGGCCUGAGAGGGUGACCGGCCACAUUGGGACUGAGCUACGGCCCAGACUCCUACGGGAGGCAGCAGUGAGGAAUAUUGCACAAUGGGCGGAAGCCUGAUGCAGCAACGCCGCGUGCGGGAUGACGGCCUUCGGGUUGUAACCCGCUUUCGCCUGUGACGAAGCGUGAGUGACGGUAAUGGGUAAAGAAGCACCGGCUAACUACGUG
rnacentral:rRNA from 1 species